rnacentral:rRNA from 1 species
CUGGUUGAUCCUGCCAGAGGUUACUGCUAUCGAGGUUCGACUAAGCCAUGCGAGUCGAAUGUAGCAAUACAUGGCGUACUGCUCAGUAACACGUGGACAACCUACCCUUGGGACGGGGAUAAACCCGGGAAACUGGGUAUAAUACCCGAUAGGUCUCGGAUGCUGGAAUGCUUCGAGAUUUAAAACUCCGGUGCCCAAGGAUGGGUCUGCGGCCUAUCAGGUUGUAGUGGGUGUAGCGUACCUACUAGCCUACGACGGGUACGGGUUGUGAGAGCAAGAGCCCGGAGAUGGAUUCUGAGACACGAAUCCAGGCCCUACGGGGUGCAGCAGGCGCGAAAACUUUACAAUGCCGGCAACGGCGAUAAGGGAACCUCGAGUGCCAGGUUACAAAUCUGGCUGUCGUGAUGCCUAAAAAGCAUUGCAUAGCAAGGGCCGGGCAAGACCGGUGCCAGCCGCCGCGGUAACACCGGCGGCUCGAGUGGUAACCGUUAUUAUUGGGUCUAAAGGGUCUGUAGCCGGCCGGGUAAGUCUCUUGGGAAAUCUGGCAGCUUAACUGUCAGGCUUUCAGGAGAUACUGCCUGGCUCGAGGCCGGGAGAGGUGAGAGGUACUUCAGGGGUAGGGGUGAAAUCUUGUAAUCCUUGAAGGACCACCAGUGGCGAAGGCGUCUCACCAGAACGGACCUGACGGCAAGGGACGAAAGCUAGGGGCACGAACCGGAUUAGAUACCCGGGUAGUCCUAGCCGUAAACGAUACUCGCUAGGUGUCGGCCACGGUGCGACCGUGGUCGGUGCCGUAGGGAAGCCGUGAAGCGAGCCACCUGGGAAGUACGGCCGCAAGGCUGAAACUUAAAGGAAUUGGCGGGGGAGCACCACAACGGGUGGAGCUUGCGGUUUAAUUGGAUUCAACGCCGGG